GAUGAACGCUGGCGGCGUGCCUAACACAUGCAAGUCGAGCGAACAGACGAGGAGCUUGCUCCUCUGACGUUAGCGGCGGACGGGUGAGUAACACGUGGAUAACCUACCUAUAAGACUGGGAUAACUUCGGGAAACCGGAGCUAACACCGGAUAAUAUAUUGAACCGCAUGGUUCAAUAGUGAAAGACGGUUUUGCUGUCACUUAUAGAUGGAUCCGCGCCGCAUUAGCUAGUUGGUAAGGUAACGGCUUACCAAGGCAACGAUGCGUAGCUGACCUGAGAGGGUGAUCGGCCACACUGGAACUGAGACACGGUCCAGACUCCUACGGGAGGCAGCAGUGGGGAAUCUUCGGCAAUGGGCGAAAGCCUGACGGAGCAACGCCGCGUGAGUGAUGAAGGUCUUCGGAUCGUAAAACUCUGUUAUUAGGGAAGAACAAAUGUGUAAGUAACUAUGGACGUCUUGACGGUACCUAAUCAGAAAGCCACGGCUAACUACGUG
rnacentral:rRNA from 1 species